rnacentral:ncRNA from 1 species
CGAGCCCGCUCGGGAGAGUCCCGGCCCCCUGAUCAAGAGGGUUGCGGGACGCCGAAGGAGCAACCCCUCCCCGGAAUCUCUCAGGCAUCCGUACCGAGUGGGACCA